rnacentral:rRNA from 1 species
UACGUAGGGGGCUAGCGUUGUCCGGAUUUAUUGGGCGUAAAGAGCGUGUAGGCGGCCAGGUAGGUCUGGUGUGAAAACUCGAGGCUUAACCUCGAGAUGUCAUCGGAAACCAUUUGGCUAGAGUCCGGAAGAGGAGAGUGGAAUUCCUGGUGUAGCGGUGAAAUGCGCAGAUAUCAGGAGGAACACCGGUGGCGAAGGCGGAUCUCUGGGCCUUACCUGACGCUGAGGCGCGAAAGCUAGGGGAGCGAACAGG